GAUGAACGCUGGCGGCGUGCCUAAUACAUGCAAGUCGAGCGAACGGACGAGAAGCUUGCUGCUCUGAUGUUAGCGGCGGACGGGUGAGUAACACGUGGAUAACCUACCUAUAAGACUGGGAUAACUUCGGGAAACCGGCGCUAAUACCGUAUAAUCUUUUGAACCGCAUGGUUCAAAAGUGAAAGACGGUCUUGCUGUCACUUAUAGAUGGAUCCGCGCUGCAUUAGCUAGUUGGUAAGGUAACGGGUUACCAAGGCAACGAUGCAUAGCCGACCGGAGAGGGGGAUAGGCCACCCUGGAACUGGGACACGGACCAGACGCCUACGGGAGGCAGCAGUAGGGAAUCGUCCGCAAUGGGCGAAAGCAUGACGGAGCAACGCGGCGUGAGUGAUGAAGGUCUUCGGAGCGUAAAACUCGGUUAUUAGGGAAGAACAUAUGUGUAAGUAACUGUGCACAGCUUGACGGUACCUAAUCAGAAAGCCACGGCUAACUACGUG
rnacentral:rRNA from 1 species